AUUGAACGCUGGCGGCAUGCUUUACACAUGCAAGUCGGACGAGUGGCGAACGGGUGAGUAACAUAUCGGAACGUACCUGGUAAUGGGGGAUAACUAAUCGAAAGAUUAGCUAAUACCGCAUAUUAUUCGAGCGGCCGAGAUCUGAUUAGCUGGUUGGUGGGGUAAAGGCCUACCUAGGCGACGAUCAGUAGCGGGUCUGAGAGGAUGACCGUCCACACUGGGACUGAGACACGGCCCAGACUCCUACGGGAGGCAGCAGUGGGGAAUUUUGGACAAUGGGCGCAAGCCUGAUCCAGCCAUGCCGCGUGUAUGAAGAAGGCCUUCGGGUUGUAAAGGACUUUUGUCAGGGAAGCGGUACCUGAAGAAUAAGCACCGGCUAACUACGUGCCAGCAGCCGCGGUAAUUC
rnacentral:rRNA from 1 species